AGCAACAAAUGCCCUGCUUCCAGGAAAAGCCUCUAAGCAUCAGGUAACAUCAAAUCGUACCCCAAACCGACACAGGUGGUCAGGUAGAGAAUACCAAGGCGCUUGAGAGAACUCGGGUGAAGGAACUAGGCAAAAUGGUGCCGUAACUUCGGGAGAAGGCACGCUGACACGUAGGUGAAGUGAUUUACUCACGGAGCUGAAGUCAGUCGAAGAUACCAGCUGGCUGCAACUGUUUAUUAAAAACACAGCACUGUGCAAACACGAAAGUGGACGUAUACGGUGUGACGCCUGCCCGGUGCCGGAAGGUUAAUUGAUGGGGUCAGCGCAAGCGAAGCUCCUGAUCGAAGCCCCGGUAAACGGCGGCCGUAACUAUAACGGUCCUAAGGUAGCGAAAUUCCUUGUCGGGUAAGUUCCGACCUGCACGAAUGGCGUAAUGAUGGCCAGGCUGUCUCCACCCGAGACUCAGUGAAAUUGAACUCGCUGUGAAGAUGCAGUGUACCCGCGGCAAGACGGAAAGACCCCGUGAACCUUUACUAUAGCUUGACACUGAACAUUGAGCCUUGAUGUGUAGGAUAGGUGGGAGGCUUUGAAGUGUGGACGCCAGUCUGCAUGGAGCCGACCUUGAAAUACCACCCUUUAAUGUUUGAUGUUCUAACGUGGACCCGUGAUCCGGGUUGCGGACAGUGUCUGGUGGGUAGUUUGACUGGGGCGGUCUCCUCCUAAAGAGUAACGGAGGAGCACGAAGGUUGGCUAAUCCUGGUCGGACAUCAGGAGGUUAGUGCAAUGGCAUAAGCCAGCUUGACUGCGAGCGUGACGGCGCGAGCAGGUGCGAAAGCAGGUCAUAGUGAUCCGGUGGUUCUGAAUGGAAGGGCCAUCGCUCAACGGAUAAAAGGUACUCCGGGGAUAACAGGCUGAUACCGCCCAAGAGUUCAUAUCGACGGCGGUGUUUGGCACCUCGAUGUCGGCUCAUCACAUCCUGGGGCUGAAGUAGGUCCCAAGGGUAUGGCUGUUCGCCAUUUAAAGUGGUACGCGAGCUGGGUUUAGAACGUCGUGAGACAGUUCGGUCCCUAUCUGCCGUGGGCGCUGGAGAACUGAGGGGGGCUGCUCCUAGUACGAGAGGACCGGAGUGGACGCAUCACUGGUGUUCGGGUUGUCAUGCCAAUGGCACUGCCCGGUAGCUAAAUGCGGAAGAGAUAAGUGCUGAAAGCAUCUAAGCACGAAACUUGCCCCGAGAUGAGUUCUCCCUGAGACUUUAGGUCUCCUGAAGGAACGUUGAAGACGACGACGUUGAUAGGCCGGGUGUGUAAGCGCAGCGAUGCGUUGAGCUAACCGGUACUAAUGAACCGUGAGGCUUAACCUUACAACGCCGAAG
rnacentral:rRNA from 1 species